AUUCCAGCUCCAAUAGCGUAUAUUAAAGUUGUUGCAGUUAAAAAGCUCGUAGUUGGAUUUCUGGCGUGGGGUGCUUGACCCGCCGCGGUUACGCGUGUGAGUGUCGGUGUGCCUCGGCCAUCCUUCUAGAAACUGGCUCUGCCCUUCAUUGGGUUGGGGUCAGGAUCUGGAUCUUUUACUUUGAAAAAAUUAGAGUGUUUAAAGCAAGCUUUGCGUGAAUACAUUAGCAUGGAAUAAUAAUUUAGGACUUCGGUUCUAUUUUGUUGGUUUCUAGGACUGAAGUAAUGAUUGAUAGGGAUAGUUGGGGGUGCUAGUAUUCAGCGGCCAGAGGUGAAAUUCUUGGACUCGCUGAAGACUAACUUAUGCGAAAGCAUUCACCAAGGAUGUCUUCAUCA
rnacentral:rRNA from 1 species